GGCUUGGUGGUCUAGUGGUAUGAUUCCUUCUUAGGGUGUUCCAACAACUGGAGAUAUCGAAUUGGAGGAGGUCCCGGGUUCAAUUCCCGGCUAAGCCC